rnacentral:rRNA from 1 species
ACUUUCAGCAACGGAUCUCUUGGCUCUCGCAUCGAUGAAGAACGCAGCGAAAUGCGAUAAGUAAUGUGAAUUGCAGAAUUCAGUGAAUCAUCGAAUCUUUGAACGCACCUUGCGCUCCUUGGUAUUCUGAGGAGCAUGCCUGUUUGAG